UUGCUGCGUAUUAGAUUCUUUGUUGUAAGACAGAAAGGACAAAGUAAAACUAAUGUAAAGUAUACACACAUGGCUUGACCUCGCAGCCCUACCUGCACACAUCACACUUUAUUCAUAUGUGACUGUCUGGAGCCGAGCAUUACACAAAAUGAUGGCAUGCACCUAUUAAAGGGAUGCUCAGUGGCAAGGCAAGUUUGUCAUAGUGUGAGAGUGAACUAGUUGUGUGCCCACAUGGUGAAGUUGACAUUUCAGUGGACCAAGAUGACUGGUCAACACCAAAUGCAACUUUUUCCCUCUGAUACUUGUACCAGAGUAGAUCCAUAUACAAUCAUGGAAAAAAUAUGAGACCACCCUUGUUUUCUUCAAUUUAUUGUUCAUUUUAAUGUCUGGUACAACUAAAGGUACAUUUAGUUGGAAAAAUAUAAUAACAACAAAAUUUCAUUUAAGAGCUGAUAUCCAGCCAUUUUCCAUGGUUUUCUUAAUAAUAACCAAAAUCACUUAAGUUCUUACAUCAAUAGCUAUGGCAUUUUACUGCCAAAAUUAGUGCUUUUAGGCAUUCCAUGUUUUCUUUUCUGUCUGUUUUAGUCACAUGAUACACACAGGAGUUAGAACUUGAUUGCAUACCCAUUAUUUUUGAUGACUGCAGCCAUGCGUCUUGGCAUGCUCUCCACCAGUUUCGACAUUGUUUUGCUGUCACAGCAGCUCAUUCCUGUUGUACAAAUUAAAACAAAUUUGCUUUAUUUUUAGACUUGUGGUUCUCCAAUUUGCUCUGCACAGUUGCAUGGUUAGCACUUUUACCUUGCAGCUAGAAGAUCCCCAGUUCGCGUCCUGGCCUUCCCAGGAUCUUUCUGCAUGAAGUUUGCAUGUUCUCCCUGUGCGUGCGUGGGUUUUCUCCAGGUACUACAGAAUGUGAGUGUGAUUGUUUGUCUGUAUAUCUAGCCCUGUGAUAGACUGGUGACCUGUCGAGGGUAACUCCUGCCUUCGCCCCAAGUCAGCUAGUAUGGACUCCAUCCCCCUCGUGGUCCUAAUGAGGACUGAGCGGUGUAUAGAUGAGGGAUGGAUGGUUCUCCAUUUUGUGUUUUUCCCCAGGUUUUCAAUUGGAUUUAGAUCUGGUGAUUGUGCAGGCCAAGGCAUGGUUGGAAUGUUCUGGUUCUCCGUUCAAGCUUUAACUGACUUUGCCGUGUGGCAAGGGGCAUUGUGUUGUUGGAAAAUCCAGUCAUUCGAGGCAGGGAUGAGUCUUCCAGCUGAUGGAAGAAGACUGCUUUCAAGAGUAGCCCUGUACAUGAUCUGGUUCACUCGCCCUUCACACAAUUGCAUUUGCCCUGUUCCAGCCAUACUGAAACCACCCCAGAUCGUCACUGAUCCACCCCCAUGUUUAACUGUCGGGACAAGACAGUCUGGUUUGUUGGCUUCUCCUGGCUUCCUCCGAAACCAGUAAGUUGGCUGGAGUGGACAUCAACUGAAAACUGGAUUCAUCACUGAAGAGAACCUUAGCCCAAUCAUCAACAGUCCAACCCUUGUGAUCCCCAGAAAAGAGUGAAUAGUCUUCUUUUGCCUUUCGUUGAUGAAGGGCUUCUUCCAUGACUUCAGACCAGCUUCAAGAAGUUGGUUUUGAACUGUCCUUGUCGAGCAGGUCACAUUUCUGGACAGUGCCUUCUCAUUUUAAGGUCCCUGAAGGUCUGAGGAUGAAUCCUGACACAGGAACGGAUGAGUGCAGGGUCAUCUUGUGGGGUAGAAAGACGUUUCCUGUUGCAACCAGCUAGCAGUUUGGUAGAAACAUGUUUGACUUGUUUUUCUUGGUGUAAUGAACGGCUGUCUUGGAGAUCUUUAGUUUUUUGCGACCUGUCUCUCACUCAUGCCAACGUCCAGCAGUGCAAAGAUGGCUGCCUUUGUGGCUUCACAUAAUUCUUUUGUUUUAGGCAUUAUGUGAGAGCUGACAACUUCUGAGUUAUGCUACAGCUUUAAUGUAAGCAGGAAACCACUCUAGGCCUUUGUAUGUGCAGUGCUGCUUAUGGUAUGAAAUGGCCUCUUUGUCAGGCUGGCUGCUGCCAGGCCCAGAUAGUGCCUCCCUCUCCCUCUGUCUCUCUCUCAGGGUGGCUCAGCAGUGCAGCAGCGACGACAGGUGUGCCUCAUCAGCAAUACUCAUCCGGAACUAGGAGCAGGUGGAGAUCAUCUAAUCAAGCACACCCUGCCUCAACAUAACCUGAUGCCUCACAACCCUCAAGCGCCAGAUCGUGACACAUCGUUUUUGGUUCCACCUGCUUCUAGUAGAGUCCUCUACCCACCAUCUACACCGGAUUCUGGUCUCCGCUUCAGCGAGAAAGGAAAUCCCUCCAGGCCGUCACAAACCCUUGGGCGUCUCCUCCAUUCACCUGUCGUCUCUGUUACUUUCCACCACCUGGCCCUGCACUCUGGCUUCCUCCACGGUGAACCGUCCUGAGCAUCACUCAGAAUUUGGCUGAAUCCCAAACCGCCCCCUACACACUCCCCCUCCACUACCGAGUGUCACUCCAAAAGAAGUCACACUCGCAGCUGUGGAGGGCACCUAUUAUUGAAGGGGGAGGGUAUAAAUACGAUCGUCAGGAAUGGGAUGCCCUGUCGCCUCACCGGAAAAACGGAAGACGUCAUCGCCAUGGUAACACAAAGACGCCUACUGUGCAUGGCUGUAGCGCUAUGGCACAGGUUGCAACUAACAAGGAUCGCUGCUGCUUCCAGAAGACAAAAGCAUCCCACUUUUUUCACUCACAUGUUUUCCAAUCCUAUUAUCUGGAAUUUCAAAUCCAACAGAUGAAUAAAUGAAUAAAUGAAUUCUGUCAGUUGUGUUCAAAUUUUAAGGUGUCAGGGGGUGCACAAUUAAAUCAAACGUCAGCAGAGAAGAAGAUUUAUUUCUUUUGAUUUAUCUUUUUGCACCACUCUUUGUGAUGUUCUGUCAGUGUGAAAAAGGCGUGGGAGAAAUAAAGGACGCAUGUGGAACUCA